GAUGAACGCUGGCGGCGUGCCUAAUACAUGCAAGUCGAGCGAAUGGAUUAAGAGCUUGCUCUUAUGAAGUUAGCGGCGGACGGGUGAGUAACACGUGGGUAACCUGCCCAUAAGGCUGGGAUAACUCCGGGAAACCGGGGCUAAUACCGGAUAACAUUUUGAACCGCACCGUUCGAAAUUGAAAGUCGGCUUCGGCUGUCACUUAUGGAUGGACCGGCGUCGCAUUAGCUAGUUGGUGGGGUAACGGCUCACCAAGGCAACGAGGCGUAGCCGACCUGAGAGGGUGAUCGGCCACACUGGGACUGAGACACGGCCCAGACUCCUACGGGAGGGAGCAGUAGGGAAUCUUCCGCAAUGGACGAAAGUCUGACGGAGCAACGCCGCGUGAGUGAUGAAGGCUUUCGGGUCGUAAAACUCUGUUGUUAGGGAAGAACAAGUGCUAGUUGAAUAAGCUGGCACCUUGACGGUACCUAACCAGAAAGCCACGGCUAACUACGUGCCAGCCGCCGCCGUAA
rnacentral:rRNA from 1 species